rnacentral:rRNA from 1 species
AUUGAACGCUGGCGGCAUGCUUUACACAUGCAAGUCGAACGGGAGCGCGGUCUUCGGCCGCGCGGCGAGGGGCGAACGGGUGAGUAAUUCAUCGAAACGUGCCCAGUAGUCGGGGAUAGCCCGGCGAAAGCCGGAUUAAUACCGCAAACGACCUAUGGGUGCAAGCAGAGGACCGAAAGGCCGCGCGCUGUUGGAGCGGCCGAUGUCGGAUUAGCUAGUUGGUGGGGUAAAGGCUUACCAAGGCGACGAUCCGUAGCUGGUCUGAGAGGACGACCAGCCACACUGGGACUGAGACACGGCCCAGACUCCUCCGGGAGGCAGCAGUGGGGAAUUUUGGACAAUGGGGGCAACCGUGAUCUAGCCAUGCCGCGUGCGGGAAGAAGGCCUUCGGGUUUUAAACCGAUUUUGUUCGGGAAGAAAUACUCUGGGCUAAUACCCCGGGGGGCUGACGGUACCGUAAGAAUAAGCACCGGCUAACUACGUG